GAAAGACUGUCGCCUUUCUCCUUGUGUUGCUCCAGGGCCUUUGAUACGGUUUCUGGUGGAGAACUUGGUUAAUUAUUGUUAAGGGCGACAAAUGCAGCGUGUGCAGUGCUGUACCACCUCCAUGGAGGCAGUUGGCUCCUGUGGGGCUGGCAGUGUGUGAGGUGAGCCCAAUGCCCAGCAUUGCUCCUAACCUAUCACAGAGGAGAGACUCUGUUGUAGUCCUGUACAAUGUGAUGCUAUGCAAAUGUUUCAGCAUCUGCAUAAAGAGCCUUGGAAUGAAUAGCCCUAAAUAAAAGAUAGAUGCAAACAAAGAGCUGUGUUGCCUGGACUGCUGGUGAGCACCUGAGGAUCCCUGAUGUGCUGAAAGCAUGGUCUGUCCGAGGUGCUCCCGUGCCGGAGCGGAGCUGCAGCGAUGUGACCCAGAAUCCUGUUGCAGGGUUGGGAUCGUUCCCAGCACAGUCCUGUGCUUCAAUCUUCUGCGUGACAUCAGAUAAGUAAACACCAAGAUUUGAUGUGAGAACAUAUGUCCAUUGCAUAAUUCAUUAGCAUUCUUCUCUGGAAUUACUUUUAGAUAUAUGUACUUAGAUCAGAAUUAGUGGGUGAGGGUUAUUCUGGGGAAAAAAGAAGCUAUGGCAGCUUUCAGAAAUGGGUGCUUCUCCUGGGACUGAAGGCAAGUUUGGCCAUUCAUUGUGUUUGCUUCUUAAACGAUUAUUUUGGUCGUGUAGAUUCAUUUCCUGCAAUUUGGGUGUGAGGUGGUGGAAGAACAGUGGCACAGAAACCCUCAGCUUAGCACUGCUGCUAAGUGCACUGCUCAGAAAAUAUAAUUAUCAUCUCGACCAAUUUCAUAGCUGUGUAACUCCAUCGCCUUGAGUAUAGUCGUUCCUGAUUGCCAAACACAAGAAACAUUCAAAACUAUUUACCUUCUGUUUUGCAACGUACCCGCUCCAUGUUUGUACUGCUUAGCAGGCAAAGUCAAUUGUUAGCCUGCCCAGGCUGUGCAGAUGUACGGUAACAGCAAAUCAUCGCAGCGCUUACAGCUUGUUCUCUUGUGUCAGCAAGAAAAUUGGAAGCAUGUUCAGCUUCUGUGGGACGCCUGGGAUGUGCGUUGUUCUCUAACGAAGCCAUUGCAUGCACCCUUUUCCUUGCCUCAUUUCAUCUUGACAUGCAGUGCAGCCAAUGGCUCUGGGGGUUGUUUUGCUGUAGGAAUGUUUGGGGGGAAAAAAAAACCAAACCCAUCCCAAAACAGUACUGUACAGUAUGAGUCACUGAGGAGAAAUGGGAGGAGGAGUUAUUUUGAGGGCUUUUAUAUCUUCCUUAUUGCUAGGAGACUGCUUCCCCUGAGUGCAGCGCUCUCCGGGCUCCCAACAGCUGCCUUGUUUGCACUGAGGGCAAUUCACAGAGCAGCUUCGUAGUAGAGGAGAAACAAACCUGGAUGGAGCUCAUUGUCACUUCUCAUGCUUCUGAGACAAAUGCAGGAGUAAAUGGGAGACAGCUGCUAGUGCCAAGGACAGCAUUGUGCCCAAAAUGUCGGGGCUCUGGGGCUGAUCUCAGAGCUCUGCUCAGGUGCCAGGACAGCCACAGGCUGUUCUCUGCAAAGAGCCGUUCCAGGCCUGGGAUUCAGAGCAUGAGGAUGUGCUUUGCCCAUAGCUUUGCUGUUGCAAAAGCAAUACCUAAGUCCUGUAAGUCACGAACACCUGAAGGCUCCUCUGCCCUGGCUGGGUGUGUGGGGCUGGGGCAAAACAAUCCAUUGGGAGUGAACUGUCAGGAAAAUGAUGCUGAGACCAUCACUGG
ensembl:lncRNA